AGAGUUUGAUCCUGGCUCAGAUUGAACGCUGGCGGCAUGCCUUACACAUGCAAGUCGAACGGUAACGCGGGGGCAACCCUGGCGACGAGUGGCGAACGGGUGAGUAAUACAUCGGAACAUAUCCAGUAGCGGGGGAUAACCUAUCGAAAGAUGGACUAAUACCGCAUACGAUCUACGGAUGAAAGCAGGGGACCGCAAGGCCUUGCACUAUUGGAGUGGCCGAUGUCGGAUUAGCUAGCUGGUGGGGUAAAAGCUUACCAAGGCGACGAUCCGUAGCUGGUCUGAGAGGACGAUCAGCCACACUGGAACUGAGACACGGUCCAGACUCCUACGGGAGGCAGCAGUGGGGAAUUUUGGACAAUGGGCGCAAGCCUGAUCCAGCCAUGCCGCGUGAGUGAAGAAGGCCUUCGGGUUGUAAAGCUCUUUCGGUGAAGACGAAACGGUUCAUGCUAAUAACGUGAACUAAUGACGGUACUCACAGAAGAAGCACCGGCUAACUACGUGCCAGCAGCCGCGGUAAUACGUAGGGUGCAGGCGUUAAUCGGAAUUACUGGGCGUAAAGCGUGCGCAGGCGGUUUGCUAAGACAGGUGUGAAAUCCCCGGGCUUAACCUGGGAAUUGCGCUUGUAACUGGCAAGCUAGAGUGUGGCAGAGGGGGUGGAAUUCCACGUGUAGCAGUGAAAUGCGUAGAUAUGUGGAGGAACACCGAUGGCGAAGGCAGCCCCCUGGGUUAACACUGACGCUCAUGCACGAAAGCGUGGGGAGCAAACAGGAUUAGAUACCCUGGUAGUCCACGCCCUAAACUAUGUCAACUAGUUGUCGGGGAAGAAAUUCCUUGGUAACGAAGCUAACGCGUGAAGUUGACCGCCUGGGGAGUACGGCCGCAAGGUUAAAACUCAAAGGAAUUGACGGGGACCCGCACAAGCGGUGGAUUAUGUGGAUUAAUUCGAUGCAACGCGAAAAACCUUACCUACCCUUGACAUGCUAGGAAGCCCGCAGAGAUGUGGGUGUGCCCGAAAGGGAACCUAGACACAGGUGCUGCAUGGCUGUCGUCAGCUCGUGUCGUGAGAUGUUGGGUUAAGUCCCGCAACGAGCGCAACCCUUGCCAUUAGUUGCUACAUUCAGUUGGGCACUCUAAUGGGACCGCCGGUGACAAACCGGAGGAAGGUGGGGAUGACGUCAAGUCCUCAUGGCCCUUAUGGGUAGGGCUUCACACGUAAUACAAUGGUCGGUACAGAGGGCUGCCAACCCGCAAGGGGGAGCUAAUCCCAGAAAGCCGAUCGUAGUCCGGAUUGUAGUCUGCAACUCGACUGCAUGAAGCCGGAAUCGCUAGUAAUCGCGGAUCAGCAUGUCGCGGUGAAUACGUUCCCGGGUCUUGUACACACCGCCCGUCACACCAUGGGAGUGGGUUCCACCAGAAGUAGUUAGCCUAACCGCAAGGAGGGCGAUUACCACGGUGAGAUUCAUGACUGGGGUGAAGUCGUAACAAGGUA
rnacentral:rRNA from 1 species